rnacentral:rRNA from 1 species
GACGAACGCUGGCGGCGUGCUUAACACAUGCAAGUCGAACGGAAAGGCCCUGCUUUUGUGGGGUGCUCGAGUGGCGAACGGGUGAGUAACACGUGAGUAACCUGCCCUUGACUUUGGGAUAACUUCAGGAAACUGGGGCUAAUACCGGAUAGGAGCUCCUGCUGCAUGGUGGGGGUUGGAAAGUUUCGGCGGUUGGGGGUGGACUCGCGGCGUAUCAGCUUGUUGGUGGGGUAGUGGCUUACCAAGGCUUUGACGGGUAGCCGGGCUGAGAGGGUGACCGGCCAAAUUGGGAUUGAGCUGCGGCCCAGACCCGUACGGGAGGCAGCAGUGGGGAAUAGUGCACAAUGGGCGGAAGCCUAGUGCAGCAACGCCGCGUGCGGGAUGACGGCAUGCGGGUUGUAAUCCACUUUCGCCUGUGACGAAGCGUGAGUGACGGUAAUGGGUAAAGAAGCACCGGCUAACUACGUG